rnacentral:rRNA from 1 species
ACAUAAAGGUUUGGUCCUGGCCUUUAUAUUAACUAGUAACAAAUUUACACAUGCAAGACUCCCCAUACCAGUGAGAAUGCCCUUAAUAUCUAAACAGAUAAAGAGGAGCAGGUAUUAAGCACACUAAAAGUAGCUCAUGAUGCCUUGCUCAACCACGCCCCCAAGGGAUACAGCAGUGAUAAAAAUUUAGCAAUGAACGAAAGUUCGACUAAGUUAUGUUAUUAUAAGGGUUGGUAAAUUUCGUGCCAGCCACCGCGGUCAUACGAUUAACCCAAGAUACCCCACUAUGCUUAGCCUUAAACCUUAAUAAAUUCAUAACAAAAUUAUUCGCCAGAGAACUACAAGCCAGAGAUUAAAACUCAAAGGACUUGGCGGUGCUUUAUACCCACCUAGAGGAGCCUGUUCUAUAAUCGAUAAACCCCGMUAAACCCUACCACUCUUUGCCAACUCAGCCUAUAUACCGCCAUCUUCAGCAAACCCUAAAAAGGAAUAAAAGUAAGCCUAAUUACUAUCAUAAAAACGUUAGGUCAAGGUGUAGCCCAUAGAGUGGAGAGCAAUGGGCUACAUUUUCUAAAAUAGAAUACACGGAGGCCCCUAUGAAAUCUGAGGCUAAAGGAGGAUUUAGUAGUAAAUUAAGAGUAGAGAGCUUGAUUGAACUAGGCCAUGAAGCACGCACACACCGCGGU